UACGGAGGAUGCAAGCGUUAUCCGGAAUGAUUGGGCGUAAAGCGUCCGCAGGUGGCUAUGUAAGUCUGCUGUUAAAGAGUGAGGCUCAACCUCAUAAAAGCAGUGGAAACUACAUGGCUAGAGUGCGUUCGGGGCAGAGGGAAUUCCUGGUGUAGCGGUGAAAUGCGUAGAGAUCAGGAAGAACACCAGUGGCGAAGGCGCUCUGCUAGGCCGUAACUGACACUGAGGGACGAAAGCUAGGGGAGCGAAUGGG
rnacentral:rRNA from 1 species